rnacentral:tRNA from 1 species
GGGGUGUUAGCUCAGCUGGUUUAGAGCACUACCUUGACAGGGUAGGGGUCACUGGUUCGAACCCAGUACAUCCCA